rnacentral:lncRNA from 10 species
UUCUAUGAGAUCAUUCCAAAGCGCCUCAUUUCCAUCUUCACUGAGCAGGAGUUAGAGCUGCUUAUAUCAGGACUGCCCACCAUUGACAUCGAUGAUCUGAAAUCCAACACUGAAUACCACAAGUACCAGUCCAACUCUAUUCAGAUCCAGUGGUUCUGGAGAGCAUUGCGUUCUUUCGAUCAAGCUGACCGUGCCAAGUUCCUCCAGUUUGUCACAGGUACUUCCAAGGUACCCCUGCAAGGCUUUGCUGCCCUCGAAGGCAUGAAUGGCAUUCAGAAGUUUCAGAUCCAUCGAGAUGACAGGUCCACAGAUCGCCUGCCUUCAGCUCACACAUGGUAAAAGGAAGGGUUUGUUUCUCCUUUUCAGUGCUUAGGUUGAGCUUGCAUACUUGAUGUUUUCAGGACCCUACCCAAGAUUGGGAACACAAAUGUGGCUGAGUCCUGGACCUUGGGUAACUCACAAUUUGGUGUUUCUAUGGAGGUGAUGUUUGAGAUGAGAUGUGCUAGACACAGUGGGGGCUGGGGAGACACUGUCAGGUAAACAGCACCACAAGAGAGCAUGGUGUAUUCCAGGGCCAGCGUGACUGGAGCAAGGAGGAGUUGCAGGGAGCAAAAGUCUAAAGAGCUCAGCAGAGGUCCGAUUACCAGUGACUCUGAAAACCACCUUCAAGUUUGCACUUUAGCCUAUGGGCGAGUGAGGCCAGGGUGUUUAAGGAGGAGUGACAGGGUCAGAUUUUUGGUUUUGGUGCCUGAUGGCCAGUUUGGGAGCCAGAUAAAGGGGGACAUACUGGGCUGAGACAA